GCUGUCCUCAGACUAUGUGGGGAUACACUAUGAGAAUGGGAAGCCCGUCCUUUGGAGGUGAGGCAGAUCCAACUUUGCAAAGACAGUCUGGCGCUUCUGACUCACAGUCUGGUCGCUGCUAUACUGGGGAGUGCAAGACGAGAGACAGUCAGUGUAAAUAUGUGUGGGGCUGCGAGUUCGGAGAAGUUCUGUUAUGAGAAGCUGAACACAGAUGGCUCAGAGAAGGGAAACUGUGGUCAAGAUGGAGACAAAUGGAUCCAGUGCAGUAAGCAUUUCCCAUCUGCAUGGGAGUGUCCAGGAAAUGCAUCAUCGCUGCUUCCUAAGAUGAUCAUUGAUGUCAUCUGAAGGGAUGUUCACACUGACAGCAGUUCACUCUGUUGACUGGAGGCUGUCAAGUUUCAGUACUGCUAGCAGAUGUUUCUGCUCGACUGCAGUAUGUGUUGAUUGUAUUAGAGGUGGAUCAAGAUUGAUUUACUACAUUUGAAUGAUGGGUCAAUGAUAUGGUGCUCAUUUGUUCCCUUUUGAGGUAACUUGAACUGCAUCCUCUAUAGCGGUGGCUAUGGGGAACGCCUUCAGCGUGACCGGUGUCUGAAGCACAUGUCUAAACACGACAAUAACAUUUGCCGAUGACAGCCUAUUACGUCACUACACUACGUCAUCCUCUUCUUCGUCUUCAUUGCCAGAAAUCAAUAUGAUGGAUGACCUGUCAAAUUUUUGGAUGGAUGGUGACCU
ensembl:lncRNA